CCUACGGGUGGCAGCAGUGAGGAAUCUUGGUCAAUGGGCGGGAGCCUGAACCAGCCAAGUCGCGUGAGUGAAGACGGUCCUAUGGAUUGUAAACCUCUUUAGGCGGGGAGCAAUGCCGUGCACGCGUGCCCUGAGGGAGAGUACCCGCAGAAUAAGCAUCGGCUAACUCCGUGCCAGCAACCGCGGUAAUACGUAGGAUGCGAGCGUUCUCCGGAUUUAUUGGGUUUAAAGGGUGCGUAGGCGGAUUUUUAAGUCAGCGGUAAAAUGUCCGGCUGAAACCCGGGCUGGCCGUGGAAACUGGGGAUCUUGAGUGCGCGAGAAGUAUGCGGAAUGCGUGGUGUAGCGGUGAAAUGCAUAGAUAUAACGCAGAACUCCGAUUGCGAAGGCAGCAUACCGGCGCCCGACUGACGCUGAGGCACGAAAGCGUGGGGAUCGAACAGGAUUAGAUACCCGAGUAGUC
rnacentral:rRNA from 1 species